AGCACUAGGCCACUUGGGCUUGUCAGCUUUAGCUCAGCUCUUCUCCCACAUUCCAGCUGCGUCCAUCCGGAUCGGUUGGCCCGUCGCUGCAGCCGCGACCGAAUUGCCGAGAUGUUCACGUCGGAUCCACCGAAAGCCCAGCUCCAUCCCUCCCGCUACCACCAGCACGCACCACCGCCGCCUACCACCACCCGGCCGGCGCCCCUCCGUCUCCACGUAUCUUAUCAUGGUUCUCUCCCCCGCCCGCUGCCUCCCUUGCCUUGCCUUGCACACCUCGGCAAAGCAUCCGGAUCGAUUUGUUUACCACCCUCAACCUCAUCGGGUGAGAAGGAAGCUGCCGCCAUGCACGUUGCUUGACGUGAGCUCAUCGGGGACGACGACGCCAGCCAUGAGCGGGAGCAAGCGCGACCGGCGCCGGUGGCCCCUAUGGCGCUGGGCCUUGGUCUCUUGCGUGCUCGCGACGACGGCGGUGGUGGAGGCGGGAGGCGCGGAGGUGACCGAGCUGGACUUCGAGGAGCGCCGGGGCGAGCGGCGCGACCUGCUGGUGCUGCGGGACACGCUGCGGUCGGCGCUGGACCUGCACUCCAACUGGACGGGCCCCCCCUGCCACGGCGGGCGCAGCCGGUGGCGCGGCGUGUCGUGCGACGGCGACGGCCGCGUGGUGGGCGUGGCGCUCGACGGCGCGCAGCUCACGGGCGCGCUCCCGCGUGGCGCGCUCCGCGGCGUGUCGCGGCUCCAGGCGCUGUCCCUGCGCGGGAACGCGCUCCAUGGCGCGCUGCCGGGGCUCGACGGCCUGCCGCGCCUCCGCGCCCUCGACCUGUCCAGCAACCGGUUCUCGGGCCCCAUCCCGCGCGGGUACGCCACGGCGCUGCGGGACCUCGCGCGGCUCGAGCUCCAGGACAACCUGCUCAACGGCACCCUCCCGGCGUUCCGGCAGCGCGGCCUCGUCGUCUUCAACGUGUCCUACAACUUCCUCCAGGGCGAGGUCCCAGCCACCCGCGCGCUGCGCCGGUUCCCCGCGAGCGCGUUCGACCACAACCUCAAGCUCUGCGGCGAGGCCGUGAACGCCGAGUGCCAGGACGGCACGCCGUCGUCGUCCGGCGCUCCGGCCGCUGGAGGCGGCAGCGACAGUCAGGUCGUGAGGCCGGCAGGCGACGGCGAUCGGCCGGCACGGAAGCACAUGCGGUUCAGACUGGCGACGUGGAGCAUCGUGGCGAUGUCCCUCAUCGCCGCGCUGGUAACGUUCGCGGCCGUGCUCAUCUUCCUGCACCACAAGAAGAAGGGCCGGGAGGUCCGUCUCGGCGGCCGUGCCGCAGAGACUCGUGUUCCGUACAAUGCAGGAGGAGUGACCGGAGCAGGGGACAUCAAGGACAAGGCGGAGCAGGGCCGAGGGAGCGGCAGCCGGAGCACGGACUCCGGCAAGGGAGCCGAGCUGCAGUUCUUCCUCGACGACAGGGCCCGGUUCGACGUCGACGAGCUGUUCCGGUCCACGGCGGAGAUGCUCGGCAAGGGCCGGCUGGGGAUCACGUACCGGGUGACCCUCCAGGCCGGCCCCGUCGUCGUCGUGAAGCGGCUCCGCAACAUGGCGCACGUGCCGCGCAGGGACUUCACCCACACCAUGCAGCUCCUGGGCAGGCUCCGGCACGAGAACGUCGUCGACCUCGCCGCGGCCUUCUACUCCAAGGAGGAGAAGCUGGUCGUGUACGAGCACGUCCCCGGCUGCAGCCUCUUCCAGCUCCUGCACGGGAACAGGGGCGAGGGGAGAACGCCGCUGCCGUGGCCGGCGAGGCUGUCGAUCGCGCAGGGCAUGGCGCGCGGGCUGGCGUACCUGCACCAGUCGCUGCCGUACUUCCACCGGCCGCCGCACGGCAACCUCAAGUCCUCCAACGUGCUCGUCUUCUUCUCGGCGGCCGGCGCCAAGGGCAAGCAGCAGCAGCAGGCGGUGCCGAAGCUGACGGACCACGGGUUCCACCCCCUGCUCCCGCACCACGCGCACCGGCUGGCGGCGGCCAAGUGCCCGGAGUUCGCGCGCGGCGGCGGCCGGCGGCUGUCGUCCCGCGCCGACGUGUACUGCCUCGGGGUGGUGCUGCUGGAGCUGGUGACCGGGAAGGUGCCCGUGGAGGAGGACGGCGACCUGGCGGAGUGGGCGCGGCUGGCGCUCAGCCACGAGUGGUCCACGGACAUCCUCGACGUGGAGAUCGUGGCCGACCGCGGCCGCCACGGGGACAUGCUGCGGCUCACGGAGGUCGCGCUGCUCUGCGCCGCGCCCGAGCCCGACAGGCGGCCCAAGGUGCAGGACGUCGUCAGGAUGAUCGACGAGAUCGCCGCCGGCGACGGGCCGGAGCUUGCCGGGCGUUGAGCUCCACGGCGGUGCUGGGCGUGGGCUGAUCGACAUGAUCUUCUUCUUGGUUUGAAAUUUUUUGGUGGCGACGUGGCGUGCACACUACCAGGUAAAAACUUAUGAGCCGUCCGAUUGCCAUGCACGGAGGUAAGCAGGUGCGCAGAAAUGCUCAGCAAUGUCAGCUCCUCCAAACCCAGCAUCUCUUACCUGAGACAGAUGACCCUAAAUGGAUAUAAGAGUGGUCCAUUGGCUCUACAAAACAACAAUCGGUCAACCGUACUUUUUCUUCUUCUAGGAUUUUCGUAGGCCAGCAUUUCAUUAACGGUAAUGCUAGGAUUAGGAUGUUUGACGUGCAGAAAAGAUCGGACCCUGCAACUCAUGUUGAGGAGUCAAAUACCGAUAUUGCAAUUAUUAUUUUUUUAUGUUACACAGUGGAUGUUGCAUGAAACAUGAUUUUAAUGUUGCAAUGGAAAUUCCAAAUAUUAGAGUCA